CUGUUGGUCCCUGCUGCUAUUUCCUUGAUGCCUUGACUCCAUUACCUGCAGCACCUCGUCCGAGGAAGCCCCGGUAUCGAUUUGGAAAAUCACAAUUGAUACUUCCCUGCAGCUCGCUUUCUGGCGAAGAGGGAAACCAACGACCCGCGCUGACGCUUGCUCGCUUCGGGGCCUGGAGCGGGGCGCGCAGGGGGCAGCUUGCGCCGUGCCGCUGUCCCCACGCUCUGCCCGCGUGGAUCUCCAGCCGCGUCCCGCCUCUCCACGGGCCACGCCUGCCGACCCCGUCGCGCGCUUUCUCGUUCGUGUGGAAGGGCAGAUGUGGGGGGACCUGGGUGUUGGAGGCUCGGAGGUCGUAAAAUUGGCCCCAGGUCCGGGCUCUUCCGAAGCCCGGGGCCGGAAGAGCUGGGGCUUGGGCCGCCAGUCCGGGGAGACCUCCAAGCGGAACAGAAGGAGCACCUGCAGACGCUCGAAGCUUCCCCUGGGGAAAAGCAUACGUCGGUAGACACGCUGCGCGGCGCCAGAGCUAACUCUCAGUUUACCGCGCGUCCUGCCUUGGGGGGUGCUGAGGCCCUUGGGGGGAACCCUUGAGAAAAGCAGAGGACGCGGGAGACCUCUGACGCGGGGUCAGGUGGGCCGAGACCCACGAAGGUGGAUGUCUGCUUCCCUACGUCCUGCGUAGAAAAUGAUUUUUAAAAAUUUUAUUUUUGAAAAUGAUUUUUAGUCACACUUGUCGUGGAGGUAGGAAAAGGGAGGGAAGUCAAAAGAAAGGAGGAGGCCGACCUUUAUUUUACAAGAAAAACCCAGGAAAAAUGGAUUGGUCGAAUUGUGGAGUAGGAGGGAGGGAAGGAAGGAUGAAGACUUUCCUUCUUUGUUCUUAAAAGCCCGAGCACUUUGGUUUGUUUGUUUGUUUCCCCAAAUCAAAAUACAGAGAGGCAGUCCUUGUAGGGGCAUGCUUAUGCAAUCGAGAGAUGCUGCUCAUUAAUUAGUUCACUUUUAAAACAUUUGCUGGGCUGAGCAAAGUUUUUAGAAGGUUCUUUCUCAGAACCCAGCCCCGAUGUGAAGCUCAACUCGAUUUAAGGCAGACCUAGGAUCAAAAUUUCAGACGAGGUCAUGCGUGUAUACAUCUGUACAAAAAUACACAUGCCACAGAGUUUGUAUUCCUUCCAGGCUAAGACAAGAGAUUCUAUAGUAAAUUAUACGUGAUGGCUGAGUUUUUUUCUGGUAACCUCUUGUCACCAGAGAGGAGUACUGAGUUAUCUUUCUCUCCAUUCCCAAUUAAUAAAUCUACUGAGAGAGAGAGAACUCUCCUUAUGAGAAUGUGGCUUUCCCCCCCACUCUUUCUGGUUUAAACGUUCUUUCCUACACGUGAACACACACAGAAUAUACAUGAUAAGCAGAGUUUUCCCUAAUCAGCCUGUAAUGUAUGAUCUACAUAAAUCCAUGCCCACUGUUGAGGACUAACUUUGUUCUUCACCAUGUGGGCAUUUCAUCAGGAAUCUUUGGUAGACCAAUAAAACGAUCAUCUUUGCUGUGAAUUUCUUUGUGAUUAAACGGAAAAUAGCAUUAAUGAACAACUCGAACAGUACUUUUUAAUAUCAAAUGUCAACCAGUAAAAAAAAGCCCCAUACUUGUUCCAAAUCUUCAGAAUGAUGGCUUCUCAUUUGCAGUCAUAUUUUGGCAAAACUACUUCAUAUUAAUGGAAAAUUACUAAAAACAGUGCACGCAUUCCAGAUAGAGAGGCGUAUUCACUGAGCUUUACCUCUAGCAACUUAAGCUAUCUGGUUCGAAUUACUUAAGUAGUUUCAACUGAAGGAAGGGCUGGAAAAUUAGGAACUGUGGAAUAAUUUGUGUUUUGGUCUUUUCACGAAGCUUUAAUCAAAUCUGAUUUUUGUGAAAACGAAAACAAUACGAUAAUCCCUUCAGUGAUCUUGUAGAAUAGUGUGUAAUUGUUAUUAAAAAAGAAAAGCGUGCCCAAAGGAUAUUUUAAUGAGAUGAGAUGAAUACAAAUACAACUAUUGCUAAGUUGUUUUUCCAGUUAUUUUUCUCUCACAUGUAAGACAUGUAGGACUCCAGAAUAUGCACUUUAAUGUGUUGUGAUAAUAAGAAAACUAUUGCUGGUUUUCUUAGAGGAGCACUGUUAUCUAGGGGGCAAUGCCAAAAUCAUUAGAUAAGCAUCAUCUUUCCUGUCACAUCAUUGUCUACAUGAAAUUCCAUCUUAGGAAAUAUGCGGGAAUAUUAUGUUUGUUUCAAAAGCUUGAAAAUACAAUAGAAUUUGAAAUAUUGAAAACAUGAUUCUUACUUGACAGUAUCUUUGAAGUUGCAGAGGUAUCUCUUUUUGAGAUGACUUUAAUAAUGACUGACUUUAAUAAUGCUGGAACGUAAGGAAAGAUUUCAACAGCAGGCAAGAUGUGAUGAACGGACACAGGAACAAUGAAGCUAUUGACAAAACAUGCCAACUUUUAGAAUUCUAUUUAAAUUAUUAUUUUUCCUUCUAGUGCAGAGGAAGACGCCCAAGUGCAUCAAUGUUCAUCAGAUGCAGGGUAAUAAAAACGUGAGCGACGGGCAAUGGACCGUGACUGUAAUAUGAUUGUUAGUGUAGGUGGGCGAGUGCCUGUUUAAAGAAGGUUUGCAGUCCUCAAUGGAGGUAGGGGAAGCUUGUAGAAAAUUGAGAUCGUGAAGAAGAGGGAAAGAAGGUUAAUCAAAGAAUAAAGCAAAUUCAGUAAUUAAAAAACUAUUUUCUAUUU